rnacentral:tRNA from 83 species
GGGGCUGUAGCUCAGAUGGGAGAGCGCCGCAAUCGCACUGCGGAGGUCAGGGGUUCGAAUCCCCUCAGCUCCACCA